CCCCACUCAAGGUCAUGUGACUGAAGACCCUUAUGAAGGCCAUGAGAAUUGCACAUGGACAGAAAAAACUGAGGGAGAGAUGAGUGCAAAAGAGAGGACCAGACAAUAUAGGGAGCGAAUUAAAAAGGAUCCACAGAGAAAGGAGGCGAUCCUAAGAGAAAGACGGAGAAAAUAUCAUGAAAAGAAGACUCUCGGGGAAUUGGAUACAUUCAACAUUAAAGCACUAGGAAGGAAGAGACAAACUGAAUUGAGGAAGAUUUGGAAGGCAUCCAAAAAAAGAUGUAGAGCAGAGAAAAAGGCAUUACUUGCCAUUCUUAACACAACACCACCGUCUCCUGACAGUGUACUGGAGGAGCCAGUGGAACCUCCUGCAGGACCUGUGGCCCAACCUCCCCCUGAACUUCCAGUGUUGCCACCAACAAUGCCUCCAAUAUCGCCAAAACAGGCCACUGUAGCCAAAUUAAAUGAACAUACAAAACAAAUCAAGGGGAAGCUUACCAGUCUAGAGAGGGAGAAAAAACUUUUAAAAAUAAAAUUCAGGAUGGAACAAAAAAAAAACAAACAGUAAAAUGUGAAAAAACUAAACCGUCUUUGUGAAAAUAAAGUAAACAAGAAUGUCAGAGAGAAACACAGCAAUCCAAAGCUGAAACAAAAUGCAGUCGAAAAGAAGUAGAGUUGUUCUUGUCAAGAGACACCAACAGCAGACUGCUUGCGGGGAAAAAAAGACACUGUGGGCAGGGUGAACAAGAAGCAGCGGAGAGUUCUGACAAAAUCACUGCGAGACCUCCACAGUGACUACCUUAAAGAUCCCAGAUGCAAAUACGGAAUGUCUUACAGGCAAUUUACUAGAUAUAGGCCAUUUUAUAUAUAUAUAUAUAUAUAUAUAUAU